rnacentral:lncRNA from 1 species
AUGACCUUGAAGAAAUCCUUCAGAGAACUGAGCUGGAGACUUGAUGAAAAUGAGCACUUGGACGUUCACAUAUUCUGGAAGUUACUGUUGCUGUGAUAAGCACAAAGGAUCCAUUUUUAGCAAAGGAUAUUGGAAGAUAUCAGGCUGGAGGAGGUUUGAUGAGCAUGGCUUCCCAGGUCUUGCCAGUUCCUCAGAGAUGUGCUCGGGUGCAGCAGACACAGCAGACACUCCCUCACAGCACACUCCUGGCACCAGGGUGCACCGUCCACGCCCCAGGCUCCGACUUCCCACCACUUCCUUUGGAAUCUCCAUGACUCAGCGCCACUUCCCUCAUCCCAUCAUGGGGCAUGGCAUGCCUGAUUCCAAGAGAUGGACUUUGUUGAUGUUCCUGGGUUGCCUCAAGAGAGCCUAUUCAUCUGGACCAGGCACCUCUGUUGGUAAGCUUAAAACCAUAAGAAAUCUCAAAGGUUUAGAUGGGCAGGUUCUCACUUGUGGUACUUUGUUCAGCAUAUUCAGUAUAUUCGGACAUUUGAAGUUCAAGAAAAGAGUUUGAAGAAAGCACUCUUAACAUUUGCAAAGCCAGGGGCAGCAGUAUAAAUAGAGGUCCGCAAACCGUAUGUCUAAAUUCUGAAAAGUUAUACAUCAAGCUACCGAACUGUAACCGUUGUUAGUUUCCAUCUUGACACAUACACUUUCAUGGCAAUCUGGAAGGCUGCUUUUUAUUAAAAACAGGACUUUAAAAUAGCAUUUAUUGCCUAUGUUCCUAGUUACACAAUUAGUACAUGUGUAACAAUAAUUAUAGUUACAAUUAUCUUAUUGAACAUGUAUCCUACGUCAGGUGGUUCAAACUUUACAUGCCUUAUCUCAUUGAGUCUUUAUAACAAUUUGAUGAGGGAUGUCCUAUGAUUAUCUCCACUUUACAGGCAUGCAAACUGAGGCAGAAAAAUGUAAAACAGGUAGAAAAAAAUCAGUCACAAUUUCACCCUGCAAAGGUAACCAACUUCCUGAUGCAUGUUUUUCUGGUAAUUUUGGAAGGUAGCUUUGAAUUCAGACUUCUUGGUUUCCUUGGUGGUCUGUGCUGGAAUAUGGUGACACAGGGAAAGCAAGUCCUGGUCCUUAGCCUGAGGCCCGCUCCUCCUCUCUCCAUCCUUGGCUCUAUCCUGCAUGCACUUAUGUGGGCAUCCCUCCCUACUGUGUACCCUUACCCCCUCAGGCUGAGGGGUGAGUACUGUAGGUGUGAUCCAGCCUCUGAGGGAAGGACCCUGGGAAGUGGUGCUACACAGUUUCUGGAAGGAGGCUUAGGGUUGUUUGACCUGGGAACUCUGGGGUUCUAGAUACUCCGAUUGUGGUCUAGGAGAGGGCAUGGGGGCUCCCGGUGUGCUUAUCCCUUUGGUCCUAUAGAUUACCCCAAUGGCAGGAGCCAGGGAUGCAGCUGGACAAGUGCCAGAGGGGGGAUCCAGGACAAGGCUCCUCUUGCCUGGGUCUAAGGGAGGUACAUCCUUACCGCUACUGAGGAAAAAGAAAUCUGAAAGCUUCAGCAUUUUAAAAUUUCUGCACAACUCAAUGAAGGGUUGUUUAAUGCGUAUUAAUAUCUGUAUUUAACAAAUAAGUCUAGCAGUGCAUUCCUAUAAUUAUAUCUUGGUAGCAGAAUUACCUUAGUAGCAUCAGUAUCUCAGUACUUGCUUAUAGUUUAAUAAAACACAUUUAGAAUCA